AUUUGUCUGGUUAAUUCCGAUAACGAACGAGACCUUAACCUGCUAACUAGAUACGAUUAUCUGCAUUUUCGUUAUCUUCUUAGAGGGACUAUGUAAUAUAAAUACAUGGAAGUUUGAGGCAAUAACAGGUCAGUGAUGCCCUUAUAUGUCCUGGGCUGCACGCGUGCUACACUGAUGCAUACAACAAGUGCCUAACCAGACAUGGUAUGGUAAUCUCUAAUAUGCAUCGUGAUGGGGAUAGAUCUUUGCAAUUAUAGAUCUUGAACGAGGAAUUCCUAGUAAGUGCAAGUCAUCAUCUUGCAUUGAUUAUGUCCCUGCCCUUUGUACACACCGCCCGUCGCUCCUACCGAUACCGGGUGAUCCGGUGAACCUUUUGGACUCAUUUGGGAAAGAUAAGUAAACCAUAUCACCUAGAAGAAGGAGAAGUCGUAACAAGGUUUCCGUAGGUGAACCUGCRGAAGGAUCA
rnacentral:rRNA from 1 species